rnacentral:rRNA from 1 species
ACGGGUGAGUAACACGUGGGAACGUACCCUUUUCUACGGAAUAACCCAGGGAAACUUGGACUAAUACCGUAUGUGCCCUUCGGGGGAAAGAUUUAUCGGAAAAGGAUCGGCCCGCGUUGGAUUAGCUAGUUGGUGGGGUAAAGGCCUACCAAGGCGACGAUCCAUAGCUGGUCUGAGAGGAUGAUCAGCCACAUUGGGACUGAGACACGGCCCAAACUCCUACGGGAGGCAGCAGUGGGGAAUAUUGGACAAUGGGCGCAAGCCUGAUCCAGCCAUGCCGCGUGAGUGAUGAAGGCCUUAGGGUUGUAAAGCUCUUUCACCGGAGAAGAUAAUGACGGUAUCCGGAGAAGAAGCCCCGGCUAACUUCGUGCCAGCAGCCGCGGUAAUACGAAGGGGGCUAGCGUUGUUCGGAUUUACUGGGCGUAAAGCGUACGUAGGCGGAUCGAUCAGUCAGGGGUGAAAUCCCAGAGCUCAACUCUGGAACUGCCUUUGAUACUGUCGAUCUGGAGUAUGGAAGAGGUGAGUGGAAUUCCGAGUGUAGAGGUGAAAUUCGUAGA